rnacentral:lncRNA from 1 species
CUUCAGUGAUGUAUGAUUUGGGUUGUUGGCCGGAUAGAUCAAGAAAGCCACCGCCACCACCGUGAGGUGGUGGUUGCCGCCGAGCACCGCCGCCGGCCACCAUGGUGUGGUUGUGUGUAUGAGUGUGUUAGUUAGUGUGUGUGGAUUAUGUUUGGAUGAAUCAUUGUAAUUGUAAUCAGUUUGUUUAAUAAGAAAAAAUAAUAGUAACCACCACCGUGAGCCGCCAUUGAACACCACUACCCGAGGUGGUAGUGGGUGGUGCCCCGCUAGCAAAUGCUAAUGGGCUUAGAGAAUUGUUUUGGGCCUAUUGGGCCAUGUUUGGGUGAAAACCCUAAUUAUGAGUAUUGGUCCUUAGACUUAUUUGGCCCACUUGUGGGCCAUUACGAUUGGAAUGUGAAUUAAGCCCAAAUUAUUCCAUGCCAUUUAUCUAGUAGAAUAAAGGACUUAAUGGACUAAGUCCUUAAUGGGCUAAUUGAGAAAAUACUAAUAUUUGAGAAAUUAUCAGGACACGGAUGAGAAUUAUUUAAUAAGUGAAAUAUUAAAAAAUAAUCAUUGGCAGAAAUUAAUCUAAGCAAUAAUGGACUUAAUGAAUUAAGUCCUUAGUGGGUUAAGCCCUUAAUGGGUUAAGUGAGAAACACUUAACCCUAGUUAUCAUUUGAUGUGAAACCCUAAUUUCACUUGGGCUUUGUGUUGGGCCAUCAAUGACUAAUCAAAUGGACUAGAGUAAUUAGUUGGGCUCUAAGGUAAGGCCAAUAUGAAGGAUUGGGCCCAAUUUGGAAAAUUGGGCCAUAGAUGGGCCAUAGUUAGGCCUAGAUGGUUGUAUGAUAUUGGGCCCUUAGAAUGAGACAUGUUGGACUGGACUGAACAAUUGGGCCUUAAGGGAAGUCCAUGUAGAAGUUUGGGCCCAAUUUGGAAAGUUGGGCCAUAGGUUGGGCUUUGAUCCCUAGUUGACUUUGGGCCUAUGGAUUGGGCCUUGGGCUUGGGUAAGCCAAGCUAGGGGUAAUGUAGUAAUUAUCCAAAGUAUGUAUUUAUUGUUAUGAGUUCGAACCCAAUUAUUAAUUGGGUGUUAUUUUGGUGUUGACAAUUCGGGAAUCUGUCAUCCAACAGCUAGGGUUGAGUUACGGGACUUCAGCAGUGUGGGAUUGUGUCUACGGGACUUCAGCAGUGUGAGGUGAGUUUCCUUCCAGUAGGAAUGGGUCUACGGCCACAAUGUCGGCCCGUUUAGUUAGAAGUAGCUCCGGACUUCGGUCUGACGCAGUAGUUCAGUGUGCUUGGUGUCUGUGUGAUUCAAGCAUGUUUAUGUGUUAUAUGUUCCGGCCUUUAGUCCGAUGCAGUAUGCAGUAUAUGUGUUUAUACUAGUUGAUAUGUGUUUAUGCUAUGCUAUGAUCAGUCAUUUCCGGACCUCGGUCCGAUGCAGGGGACAAGGUCCCAGUUAGUUCGGGCUUCAGCCCGAUGCAGUUUCCGGACUUCAGUCUGAUGCAGGGGACAUGGUCCCAAUUAGUCCGGGCUUCGACCCGAUGCAGUUUCCGGACUUCGGUCUGAUGCAGGGGACAUGUUCCCAGUCAGUCCGGGUUUCAGACCGAUGCAUUUUCCGCACUUCGGUCCGAUGCAGGGGGCAAGGCCCCAGUUAGUCUGGGCUUCGGCUCGAUUCAAUUUCCGGACUUUGGUCCGAUGCAGUGGGCAAGGCCCAGUAUGUGUUUACAUGUUAUUGUAUGGUAUGUGGUAGUUUGGGGGAGCUCACUGAGCUUCGUGCUUACAGUUUCAGUUUUGGUUUCAGGUACUUCCACAAGUAAAGAGAAGAGCUCGGGAUGAUGGCAUCGUACACACCACAGCUUCAGUCUUUUCCUGGGAGUUUGUUUUGAUUCAUAGUUUGAUUUGGCACAAAUGUUCAUGACAUUUUAUUAUGGGUUGAGAUAAUUGACACAUGGUUUUAUUAUGUGACAAUCAGAAUAUGAUUUUUAUUAUUAUUAAAACAAAAAAAUUUGGGUCGCAUUUUUGGAUGUUACAAGUUGGUAUCAGAGCCUUGGUUUGAGGGAUUCGGGCACACUUUCGGGUGUGUCUAAACUCAAACUAAGGAAGUGGUAAAAUGUUUUCAAAAGAAAAGAGUUUUAGAAAAGUGAAAAGAAUUUUUUUAGAAAGAAAAGAACUUUGAAAAGAGAAAAGGUGUGGUGCAUACGAUCAACCGAGCUCAAGUAAGUACUCCCAAAUUACCUAUACAAGUUUAUGUUAUGAAUAUCAGUUUCAGUUGCAGUAGAACAACAUGCUAGAAUAGGACUUAGGAUCUAGGAAGGAUGCCUUAUGUGCCUAUUAUAUGUGUAUCAGCUUUAUGAGAAUUGCACGCUAGUUAGGGCUAAGGAUCUAGGGAGGAUGCCUUAUGUGCCUAUUAUAUGUGUACCAGCUUAUUGAGAGAUGCAUGCUAGUACAGAGUAGCCAGUAUGAUAGCCAGAGUAGUAUAUGCUUUACUAUAUGUACUCAACGCCCGAAUGAUGCUUGCUUUGUGCUCCUAGAAGUUCUAGUUGUCUUUCACUAACUAGUAAACGAAUAUGAUAAGUUACAUAUUGCAAGGACUAAAUAAUUUCAGAAGGUUAGGUCUAGCCCUAUUUCGAAGCUCUUGUCUGAGUCCAACCGUUGUAGGGUAGGGUCUCUCAUUCGAAGAAUUAUCUAGUCUGAGUAAUAUGUAAUAGUACUCGCGAGCUAGUUAGGGGAAGAAAGCAUGAACUUCUUAUGCAGCUGAUGGCGGGGAGUGAGUUGGUGGAGUCAGAGAUUUUCCUAGGGCAAGCCUAGGAUGAGAGUAGUAGAGAUCAGCAGUAGUAGAAGUGACUUGGUGGAGUCGAGGUGGUACUUGAGGAAAGUACGGAUAGAUGUGGAAGGUAGUAUGGGCCCGUUCUACUGAAAGCAGAGGAUCCGUACUCGAAUCAAGGAAGGAUGAGAUGAAUCCAGGGAACUUGUAGUGUGUGAGAUCCCUCGAGUUUGGAUAAGUAUUGUGAUGUUAGUGAUGGAAUGUUGCCGAGUAUAGUGACGCUACAUGGUAGACCAGAUGGUAGUUCUGGUGUCGAUAGGAGAUCAGGAUCAGACUCCGUAUCUGGGUAGCUUGAUGGUCAGAUGAGGGACUUCAUUCUAUCUGAGAGUACGCGCAGUAUCAUUGACCAGACUCCUAUGAUCCUCAGUGUGAUCAAAGAGGGCAGUGUAGAGAUUAGUGAUGAGAGGCCGAGUACAUUCUGCACUAAGAUAGCAGUCAUGAUAGAGACUAGUACGUUGAUGUUUCGGGAAUUCAGAGUUUGUGAGGUUUCAGAUUGUCAUGGGGGUUAGGGACCCCAUCGUUAACAGCAGAUGGUUGGCAGAUGUCGCCAAUGCUUUUUGUACCAUACGUUGUCUUGAAAGGAGACAAGAUCUGACUUACUUCCUAUCUCCAGAGGGAUAGAGCACGAGAUUGAUUGGAAGAAGUUAGUAAUGAGUUGAGUGAUGGUACGGUUAAUGCUAUGCCAUGGGAUGACUUUUAGAUCAGAUUCUGGGCAGAGUGUGCCCAGGCGAUUGAGGUGUAACAGUUAGUGCAAGAGUUGUUAGAUCUCAACCAGACGACUGAGACUGUGGUAGAGAUCACCGCCAAGUCUCACGGAAGUGCUUAGAUGGUACCCCAGUAUGUAGCAGAUGAGGAAAUAAAGAAAGUAAGUUAUCAGAACAUACUAUAGAAUGAUAGUAUAGAGAUCAUGAGUAUAUCGGGGUGCAAGACCCUGAAUGAUAUCACUUCCUGAGCUUGAGAACGAGAUAUGGACUUGGAGCACAUUGGUAAGAGGGAACCAGAUCAGUUGCUUAGAGUGAGGGGUCUCGGGAGGAGACCGUAGAUUUCAGAUCGACUUCUGAGAGGCCAGCAGGGUUAGAUUCGGUGCAGCACGUGUGGGAAACUGCACAAGGGAUCCUUUCGUUUUGAGGGUUGGAGUAAGUGUGGCCCUGAGUUACCCUCGUUUUGUGUCUAGAUUAUAUUUUCAAGAGAUCUCAUAUGCCAAUUGCAUGCCGAGAAGCAUUAACGAAUAAUGAUAGAGCAGUUCCCCAGAUUACGGGAUUGGGAAAGUACAGCGUCAUCUUGGUUUAUUCCAAGACUGAGGAGCAGCACGAGAAGCACCUGAGGGAGGUGCUAGAGACUUUGAGGAGGGAGAGAAUUUUCGCAAGGCUCUCCAAUUGUGAGUUUUGGUUGCACGGGGCGCAAUUUCUUGGGCACCUUGUCAAUCAGAAGGGUAUUCUAGUCAACCCGUCCAAGAUAGAGGUCGUGAUGCAGUGCGAAAUUCCGAGGUCUCCAAUUGAGAUUCGGAGCUUCCUGGGUUUAGUGGGUUAUUACCGAAGAUCUAUUCAGAUUUUUAUAAGUUGUGUGAUCUUUUGGAUUAAAUGGUGUUGAACACUAGCAAUGCUAAGCGUGGUCUCAGCAGAUGGAGCAUAGAAUGGUGAGAAGGAUUGGGAAUUCUUCCAGUCUUGUGUGCUGUAAGGCAUUAGCUGAAUCAAAGUGGGAGAGAAUCGCCCAAGGAUUCCGAAGUGGGAGUAGUUUUGAGACUAGGAUAAGUCUUACAUCCUUGUCUGAAAGGAAGACAGCCCAUGUGGCUGUAUGGUUCGAGGAGAGUGUGAUAUGGAAGUUCGGAAAAACUCGCCAAUGUUGAGAUCGCGUUCUCAGAAUGUUUGCUAGCAAGCCUUAGGGAAUCCGGUUGGGGAUUCCAGACAGGACAUGAGUUCAGUUGAGUGCGGGUCAAGCGCGUGUUCGAUCCUGUAUGGAAAGUGUUGUAAGUCUGGGCGUGUAGCCGUAGCAUUCACUAGCAGUCGGAUAGUAUUAGAGUGAUGUAAGUCUGCGGGUGUAGCCAUAGCAUUUAGUAGCAGUCAGAUAGUGUUAGUGAUGUAAGUCCGCGGGUGUAGCCGUAGCAUUCACUAGCAGUCAAAUAGUGUUAGUGUUGUAAGUAUGCAGGUGUAGCCGUAGCAUUCACUAGCAGCCAGUUUGUGUUAGAGUGUUGUAAGUCUGCGGGUGUAACCGUAGCAUUCACUAGCAGCUAGAUAGUGUUAGAGUGUUGUAAGUCUGCGGGAGUAGUCGUAGCAUUCACUAGCAGCAGAUAGUGAUAAAGUGUUGUAAGUCUACGAGUGUAGCCGUAGCAUUCACUAGGUUAUUAGAUAGCGUGACUGCGUCGUUAGGACGCGGGAAGGACAGUAGUACCCACCAGAUCGAGUAUAGCAGUGAGGAUAUGGAAAUCCACAGAUUGGAUUUCAGAGUUUCCCAGACGGAUUAGACUUGGUUAAGCCAAUGAUAAGACGGUAGAAGCGCCACUACAGAGAAGAGAGCAAAGAAGCAGUAGACUGCUUAAGGUCAUUUAUGGCAUAAGGCUACCGGUGGUCAUGUAGCAAUCACUUUUAGCCUUGGGUUUAGUGACGUCAGGACUCGACGUAUAGACUCGAUCAGUUAGAUCAACAAGUUAUUAGAGCCUCAGUGGCAUGGUAACUAGUGGCAACUGGUUCUAGAGAAGGAAUUUGUUCAGAAGUCGUGUGAGGCGACUAAGUAGGGAGCCCUUGGGCUCCGCAGUCAGGCUGGAACCCGGCAUUUCAGACGACUAAGAAAUGAAUUGAGACCAGGAAGGUCUCGAUAGAUGUUGGAGAGCAGCCAUGUAGCAACAUGCUGUUUUAGGUAGCUCAGUGUUUCAGGUAGUUGAGUGUUUCAGGCAGUUCAGUGUUCAGACAGUUCAGUGUUCAGGCAGUUCAGUGUUUCAGGCAGUACAGUGUUUCAGGAAGUACAGUCUUUCAGGCAGUACAGUGAUUCAGGCAGUUUAGUGUUCAGGCAGUUCAGUGUUUCAGGCAGUUAGUGUUUCAGGCAGUUCAGUGUUUUCAAGCAUAUCAGUGUUUCAAACAGUUUUGGGUCUCCAGCGGUAACGGUAACUGAGGACCUCAGGUAUAGUAAGCGUAACAGACUGCCAAGUAAUGCUAAGUCACCCUCCGUGGGGUUCAUCUAUAAUGAGUUAGUAUGAGUGAUCUGAUGGGGAUUCAGACCAUCUCGAGACAACAGAUUUCAGACAGGGUAGAUGUGAUCUUGUUGCUAGAAUUCGUUCAUCGGUAGAAUUUAGGGCCUUGCGAAGGAUAGUCACCUUGGGAAGACUAGGGUGUGCGCAUGAUUUUGACCAUGUUAUUUGAGUGGUUUGGCGUGUAAGGAAUGGUAUGGAAUGAUUUCGAGGACGAAAUCUAAUUUAAUUGGGGGAGAGUUGUAACACCCUAUUUAUUAAAUAAAUAAAUAGAUAAAGUUGAUGAAUGGAUACUAGCCCUAAAAUCAAUAAUUAUAUAAUAAGAGUUGGUCUCGAGGAGUUACUUGGCAUAAUUUAGAAGUUGAGGGUUAAAAGUGUAAGUUUCAGACUCAGUUUAUAAUUAAUUAUGAAGUCAGGGGCUCCGUGAUAAUUAUUUGGAUUUAAUUUAAAAAGAUUUUGGAAAAACAAGGUGCAAAUGCUAAAUUUUGGACUUAAGUUGAAAGGAAUUUGUAUGGAAGGGGUUAAAAAGGUAAAUAUAGAUCUAUUUUGAAAUAAAUGGUAGCUGGAGGGACCAUUUGUGACAUUAUGGAAUAAGUUUGAUAAGGGUGGUCGGGUAUAUAAGAUACCGGUAACCCUAAACCCUAACCUAAGGAUGCAGCCGCCAUCUUUCCUCUUCUUCUUCUACCGGUGGCCGCCAAGACUGUUGGAGUCGGAGGAACCGCCACCACCCGUUACGCUAGUCUUCCGACCCGUUGAGCUGCCAAGUGAGUGAAGCACCACGCUGUUGUUUUGCUGCCGACGAAUGCGUGAGUCAAGGUCGACGUUGGGGCCGCUGUGCCUCCAUCUCCUCCGUUAACGACGCAAGCCUGCUAUUCUUCUUCCUUCUCUGUUUCAGCCGACGAUACCUUUUCACUGGCCGAUGUCGCCGCUCCGGGCGACUGCCUCAUCGUCAUUAGCUUCUGUCCGUCGCUUGUCUCCGUGAUUGGGUAGUUGCGUUGUUUUGUAUGCAUUCGUAUCUCAUCCCAUGUCGGGGUGUGAAUGGGUUCAGCCGAAUGGAGGUCGUGAAGAACCACCAUGGCAGCCGCCCAUGGUGGUUGUCGCCGAUAACAGAGCUGAUGUCGCCUCUCCGGGGGUUCUGCCUUCACCAUGUGCCACUAGGUGGGUGGCUAGAGUUGUUUUGUAAUCAGUUAGGGCGUGUGUGAGUUACUUCAGUGAUGUAUGAUUUGGGUUGUUGGCCGGAUAGAUCAAGAAAGCCACCGCCACCACCGUGAGGUGGUGGUUGCCGCCGAGCACCGCCGCCGGCCACCAUGGUGUGGUUGUGUGUAUGAGUGUGUUAGUUAGUGUGUGUGGAUUAUGCUUGGAUGAAUCAUUGUAAUUGUAAUCAGUUUGUUUAAUAAGAAAAAAUAAUAGUAACCACCACCGUGAGCCGCCAUUGAACACCACUACCCGAGGUGGUAGUGGGUGGUGCCCCGCUAGCAAAUGCUAAUGGGCUUAGAGAAUUGUUUUGGGCCUAUUGGGCCAUGUUUG